UUAUUUCCCUCUUUCCUUUUCCCUCGUCAUUUUUCACUCUCCCUCCAUUUCAUUUCACAAAACCAAAACCCUAAUUCCAUGCUAAUUCGUGAAUCCCUUUUUUCCCUAUUUCGUGAACCGAUUCGUGAAUCCCUAAUCCGUGAAUCCAUUGAAGAAUCCCUAAUUCCCUAAUUCAAAAUCCCUCGUUAAAGGGUUUCUGAAUCAUCAAAGGUUUUCCAGAACUAUCGGCUUUGUGGAUGCUGGAAUCAACUUUUCUUUGCAAGUUUUCAAGAAUGCUCAUCUUACUUAGUGGAGGCAGUAAGCAGUUGUUGAAUGCAAGUUAAUUUGGAACCGAAGCACUAUAUCAUCCGGGAUUUUGCAAAGACAACUCUUUCUCAAGGUUAGUCAUCCCUAUGUUAAUUUGGAACCAGAC